UAAACCAGGAUUAAACCAGGACUAAACCAGGUACUGGACCAGGACUAAACCAGGUACUGGACCAGGACUAAACCAGGACUAAACCAGGUACUGGACCAGGACUAAACCAAGAUUAAACCAGGACUAAACCAGGACUAAACCAGGUACUGGACCAGGACUAAACCAGGACUAAACCAGGACUAAACCAGGUACUGGACCAGGACUAAACCAGGUACUGGACCAGGACUAAACCAGGACUAAACCAGGUACUGGACCAGGACUAAACCAGGACUAAACCAGGUACUGGACCAGGACUAAACCAGGACUAAACCAGGACUAAACCAGGUACUGGACCAGGACUAAACCAGGACUAAACCAGGACUAAACCAGGACCA